AGGGAAUAUUAGUAAUGGGCGAAAGCCUGAACUAGCAACGCCGCGUGUGCGAAGAAGGCCUUCGGGUUGUAAAGCACUUUUUGAGAGGAUGAGGAAGGACGGUACUCUCAGAAUAAGUCUCGGCUAACUACGUGCCAGCAGCCGCGGUAACACGUAGGAGGCGAACGUUAUCCGGAUUUACUGGGCGUAAAGCGCGUGUAGGUGGUUUGGUAAGUAGGGCGUGAAAGCUCCUGGCUCAACUGGGAGAGGCCGUUCUAAACUGCCGAACUAGAGGAUGGUAGAGGGAGGUGGAAUUCCGGGUGUAGCGGUGGAAUGCGCAGAUAUCCGGAGGAACACCAGUGGCGAAAGCGGCCUCCUGGACCACUCCUGACACUCAGACGCGAAAGCUAGGGUAGCAAACG
rnacentral:rRNA from 1 species